GAUAAAGAAAGCCUUUAGAGUUGGAAUUUUGAGUGGGAUUUCUAGUAAUCAUCAUUUUCUUGGAGUGAGUCAGAGGAAAGGGUUCAGAUUCAAUAAUGCUGUUAAGAAUUGUGCUUAUGUAAGUGAUCAAGGUGCUCUGGAGUAUGAGAUUGGUACUUCUGGUGCACAGGAAACGUUUACAUCAACCAGAGAGAAGCUCAUCAAUGGAUCAAAUGAAGGAGCAAUGUAAGACUCAGGUCCCAAUCUACAGCGACUAUUUUUUUCCCAUUUUUCUUCAAAUUUUUUGUUCUUAUGGUUUUAACGUUUUAAAUCGUCCAGCGUUACAGACAGAUGCUAGUGGUUCAUUCUGUCUUCCUAUAUUAUAAGAUUUGAAUGAGUCUUAUAUAUGUGCUUUUAUUAAAGAACCUGCAUGCUUUUCUGGACUGUUUGAAUUUGCUUGGUUUAAUGUAAUUUUGGCUCAAGGAAGAACCUCCUUUGGCAGAUAUCACAGUUUGAGUUGGGACAAAAUACAGCAGUAGAAUUGUUUCCCCUGUUCCUUACUUCUAGCUAAUGGUUAUAGCUUUGAACGUCUCCUGCCAAAUGAAGAAACAACAGAAAACAUAAAAUUCCUGAAUCGUGGUUCUCAGUGCUUUGACAGGAAUAUCUUCAGAACAGCAACAGACCCCAAGUGUCCAAACUGAGCUUAUUAUGCUAUCUGUACCAGCUAUUGCGGGACAAGCAAUUGAACCACUGGCACAACUUAUGGAAACAGCUUACAUCGGAAAGCUAGGUAAGCCUUUGUACAUGCUUUCCUCCAGUGUUAAGCCCUAGUAACAAAUCUUGGUUUGCUUUGAAACACUAUGUUGUCAACAUGGACCCUGGUCCACUGCUUCUAAAGCUUCUGACUUGAAAUUAAAUUUUUUAAAAGGUGCAUUGGACUUGGCAUCUGCUGGGAUAUCGAUAUGCAUAUUUAACAUUAUAUCAAAGGUAUUCAAUAUCCCUCUCCUCAGCGUGGCAACUUCAUUUGUCGCUGAAGACAUUUCUAGGCAAGGCAAUGAAGAAUCUUCUUCAGGUUAGCUUAAAUGGAAGCUGAGGAUGUUGAAAUGAAAAGACUACGUUUGUUCAGAUAAUUAUGAAAUCUUUGAUGAUACAGAUGAAAGAAUGACACUUCCCUCUGUCUCUACUGCCUUGGUGUUGUCCAUGGGAAUUGGUUUGUUUGAGGCUGCAGCAAUGUUUUUUGGAUCAGGAGUGUUUCUCAGCAUGAUGGGUAUAUCAAUGGUAAGUGGUACUUGUCUAGGACAAACAUUACAAGUCAAGCUACAUGUUUCCAUGGGUUUGAACCACAUGUUAGGUUAAACCAUUUUCUAGAUUCAGAUUCGGGUGCUGUCAAGAACCUUUACUGACAUCUCUCGUCUUUAACAGGCUUCUCCGAUGCGGAUCCCAGCAGAACACUUUCUUAAACUUAGAGCACUUGGUGCACCAGCUGUUGUUCUUUCUCUGGCUAUUCAGGGCAUCCUACGUGGUUUUAAGGAUACUCGGACUCCUGUUCUAUGUUUAGGUAAGAUUUUACAUGUUGACAAAACUAUAGUAAUUGCGAAUUUUAUCAGCUUACACAGGAGCAUACUGGAAGUGUCAUUAGACACCAGAAGUUCACCUUGCUAUGUUCUAUUGUAAUAAUAGCUUUUGGUAGCAUGUUUAUGAAAUUUCAUUUAUUUCUCAUGUUCUUUCUGAACAAAAGAUAAAAGUAAUAGUUUUGUUUUAGGUGACUAAAAUGACUCGUGCAUUGUCAAUUCAUUUACUUCUCCAGCUUCGGUUAGUGAACGAAAGAAAGCUCGUCUUCACUUAAGUGACAGCUGCCUCAAAGAAGUCAUGGUUCAACCGAUUAAGUAGAUUGUGCUUGAUGUGUGAUAGCAUGCCCCAUUAUAAACACAAAUCUCAUUUCUUUACUAAACAGAUAUCCUUGUUCAUCUCUUCCUAUCCUUAAAGUAAUUGGUUAAGAGCUGGAUACAGUUCAUGUUGAGUUGCAUCUACACAAUUAUACUAGGGAAUGAGACCCAGAACACUUUAGAAUACUUUUGGUAAAUAGACACCAGUGACAUCACUUUGUUUUCUUGUCUUGAGCGAUUCAUAAAAUGAACGUGCAGGGCUUGGAAAUUUUGCAGCUGUAUUCUUCUUUCCAGUAGCAAUGUAUGUUUUCCAAUUGGGAGUAACUGGUGCAGCCAUUUCCACAGUCGCAUCUCAGUGAGUACUUUCACCAUCGUUGUUGCUUCCAAUUUACAUCUGGCAUUGACAAUCCUAUAUUUCAACAUGUCAGAUAUAUUGUGACCGUGUUGAUGCUAUGGCAUCUAAAUAAGAGAACGGCAUUGUUGCUACCCAGUUUGAAAAGUUUGCACUUUGGUGACUACUUAAAAUCUGGUGCGCCAUCGUUUCUUGGUCUCUCGCUCAUAUGAUCUGGUCCUGUUGAUUAAAAUUUUUCACCAUUCUUGCUGUAGUAGGUUCCUUAAUUUCCUUUCAAGGUGCUUACAGUCUCUCUUAGCUCAUGUUAAAUGACUUCAAUAAGAAUGUAAUACUGAUAAUAAGUAAUUGGUUUAAUCUUCAAAUCUCAGUAUCAUUUUAAUUUUUUUCAUUUGAAACAGAUAGCAUCUUUGUAGAUGAGAUAAAUAAUUGCCAACAAGUUUGAAAUCAAGAGUUUUCAUUUAGUUUCUUACCUUUUUCACUUGUGUAGUGGGGUGGCACGGCUCUUUUUUUUGAAGAAAGCAUAUGUCAUUUUCACUUUUCAAUUGUAUGUAGGUGGUUUUCUUCUUGGAAGAACUCUUGCUGCUGUCCUGACUGUGACUCUUAGCACAUCAAUGGCUGCUCGUCAAGGAGCCUUAUCCAUGGCUGCCCAUCAAAUAUGCUUGCAAGUAUGGUUGUCUGCAUCUCUCCUCGUAGAUGCCCAAGCUGCGGCCGGCCAGGUGAAAACUAAUUAUGUUUGACAAUUCUCUGCUAAUUCUGGAAGGCAGUUUUGUAUUUCUGACAUGUAUUCAAGAUGCAAAGAAGUCAGUUCUGUGUAUAAUUGCCAAUUAUGCUCUUUCCUUGCCAAGGCAAUAAAAAUAAAUCUGAGUUAGAAUUAAUAGAUCUGUAUAAGUUUUUGUCCUCAUGGGCUUGCAUAUUGUCAUUUGAUAUACUCACUAUUGUAUUGAAAUAACAUUAGAGAAUGCAAAUUUUGCUCAUCUAGUACGAUUCAGUGAAUGAUUGAUUUCUUUACCAUUUGUUCAACUUGAAGGCACUCAUUGCAAGUUCUUUAGCAAAACGUGAUUAUGGAAGAGUAAAAGAAAUUACUUAUAUGGCUAUAAAGGUGAGUUAAUCUCUUGCAUCAAUCUGUGUUGGGCUUCCCUGGGUGAGUAAUUAUUUUGGAGAUAUCCAUUAUAUUUGAUUUGUUGAUCUGUUAGCAAUUACAUUAUGCAGACAGGAUUAUUCACUGGCAUUUCUAUAGCUGUUAUAUUGGGUCUGUCUUUUCCUUCAAUAGCCAAGUUGUUCACCAAUGAUGUGCAAGUGCUGGAUAUUGUUAAGUCCGGAUUACUGGUUAGUGAAUGAUUCUGCAUGCCGCAGUUAAGCUUUCAGUUUUUUUCCUCUCCUGUCCCUGAUAAUGCUUAUUUUUGUCUACAGUUUGUCAGUGCCAGUCAACCUCUCAAUGCUUUAGCCUAUAUUUUUGAUGGGCUGCAUUAUGGAGUUUCAGAUUUCCCAUUUGCAGCUUGCUCCAUGGUAAGUGGUCCAUAAGAUUUGGAAAAGCAAUAUAUGUUGAACAUACAUUUUGUUGUAAAUGGCUUCUUAUGACUUGAAAUGAUUUCUAGAUGGUCGUGGGGGCAAUAUCAUCAGCAUUUCUGCUCUAUGCUCCUUCAAUAGUUGGUCUUUCAGGAGUUUGGUCUGGUUUGACAAUCUUCAUGGGGUUGCGUACUGUGGCCGGAUAUAUG
rnacentral:lncRNA from 1 species